rnacentral:rRNA from 1 species
CCUGGAGACUCUACGGGAGGCAGCAGUGGGGAAUUUUGGACAAUGGGCGCAAGCCUGAUCCAGCCAUGCCGCGUGUCUGAAGAAGGCCUUCGGGUUGUAAAGGACUUUUGUCAGGGAAGAAAAGGACAGGGUUAAUACCUCUGUUUGAUGACGGUACCUGAAGAAUAAGCACCGGCUAACUACGUGCCAGCAGCCGCGGUAAUACGUAGGGUGCGAGCGUUAAUCGGAAUUACUGGGCGUAAAGCGAGCGCGGACGGUUACUUAAGCAGGAUGUGAAAUCCCCGGGCUCAACCUGGGGACUGCGUUCUGAACUGGGUGACUAUAGUGUGUCAGAGGGAGGUAGAAUUCCACGUGUAGCAGUGAAAUGCGUAGAGAUGGGGAGGAAUACCGAUGGCGAAGGCCGCCUCCUGGGAUAACACUGACGUUCAUGCUCAAAAGCGUGGGUAGCAAACAGGAUUAGAUACCCUUGUAGUCCUGAGU